UAUCACAGCCAUCUUGACGACU
rnacentral:miRNA from 1 species